UGGCUCAGAUUGAACGCUGGCGGCAGGCCUAACACAUGCAAGUCGAACGGUAACAGGAAGCAGCUUGCUUCUUUGCUGACGAGUGGCGGACGGGUGAGUAAUGUCUGGGAAACUGCCUGAUGGAGGGGGAUAACUACUGGAAACGGUAGCUAAUACCGCAUAACGUCGCAAGACCAAAGAGGGGGACCUUCGGGCCUCUUGCCAUCGGAUGUGCCCAGAUGGGAUUAGCUAGUAGGUGGGGUAACGGCUCACCUAGGCGACGAUCCCUAGCUGGUCUGAGAGGAUGACCAGCCACACUGGAACUGAGACACGGUCCAGACUCCUACGGGAGGCAGCAGUGGGGAAUAUUGCACAAUGGGCGCAAGCCUGAUGCAGCCAUGCCGCGUGUAUGAAGAAGGCCUUCGGGUUGUAAAGUACUUUCAGCGGGGAGGAAGGGAGUAAAGUUAAUACCUUUGCUCAUUGACGUUACCCGCAGAAGAAGCACCGGCUAACUCCGUGCCAGCAGCCGCGGUAAUACGGAGGGUGCAAGCGUUAAUCGGAAUUACUGGGCGUAAAGCGCACGCAGGGGGUUUGUUAAGUCAGAUGUGAAAUCCCCGGGCUCAGCCUGGGAACUGCAUCGGAUACUGGCAAGCUUGAGUCUCGUAGAGGGGGGUAGAAUUCCAGGUGUAGCGGUGAAAUGCGUAGAGAUCUGGAGGAAUACCGGUGGCGAAGGGGGCCCCCUGGACGAAGACUGACGCUCAGGUGCGAAAGCUUGGGGAGCAAACAGGAUUAGAUACCCUGGUAGUCCACGCCGUAAUCUUUCGACUUGGAGGUUGUGCCCUUGAGGCGUGGCUUCCGGAGCUAACGCG
rnacentral:rRNA from 1 species